GAGAGACGUGGAGAGAGGAGCAGGAUGCCGCGGUGCGCGUGCGCAGACUUAGUCACGUGACAUCCACUGCUUCCGGUCUGACGUCACGUGACAUGGACGACACCGUGGGGCCGAUAAUGUCAACUUGAGAUCAUCUUUUCUCUGACAGGUCUGCUCCUACAGCAGGGACAGGAGAGCCAGGGACAAUGGAUGGAUAUUCUGUGAGGGUUCCAGAGGUCGUGUGUCUCGGGGCCAGUCUCACCCUCUCAGGCAUCUUCUACUAUCUGUACAGGAAGAGCCGCAAAACAGUGGAGAGACUUGACGAAGCUCCACAUUUCACCAUAGAUGGGAAACUCAAAAACAUUUUGAAGGAAAUUCCAGGAGCAUGUCUACAGUAUGCUGUCAUUGAAGGUGCUGUACAGCCAGUGGGCGAGCCUCUGACGAGUCACUUCCAAAAAGAAAUUGUCGGCGUGUUGCAGAAAAUAAUGUUGAAACAACAAAGGCUGGUGUGGAAUGGCCUUUCAAGCACUUGGACAGACAGUGAGCUGGUCUUGCACCAGAGAGUGAAUGCAGUGCCCUUUGUGUUAGUGGGAUCGGAUGAGACCACAGUCAAGGUCCUGUGUCCUCUGCAAGCUUCUGGAACCCACAUGGAGAUUACCCACGAGAAGUUUCACCAGCUCAAUUACGGCCUGGGUGACAUCGUAGGACAAUACCUGAGUGGGGAGAAAAUUAAAGGGCAACUGGAGACCGAGGAAAUGCUCAAGGUGGGUGCAACUCUCACAGGAGUAGGUGAGUUGAUACUAGACACAGACGGCACCCUGAAUCUUCGACCCCCUUCCAAUAGUACCCAGUACUUCUUGGGCAACAUGGACUUUGACACCCUGCGACAAGACCAAGAGAACGUGGCUGUUUGGUGGAAGGCGCUGACCAUUACCUCUGCUUUGGUCGGGGCGAUGGUCGUCCUCUGGGUGGGUCGACGCUACUACUACCACCUAAAAGCUCAGUGGCAGCGGGAACAGGAGAGGAGGGAAUUUGAGAGAUGGCAGGCUGAUGUAGCGGGCGCCGAAGCGCCUCAGGAUGCGGCAGAGGAACGCGUAGAGAAUCCCUGUGUGAUUUGCCUCAAUCAGCCUCGUAACUGUAUUCUGCUGGACUGUGGGCAUGUGUGCUGCUGUCACAACUGCUACCGGGCGCUUCCACGCCGCCAAUGCCCAAUUUGUAGACAGGACAUCAGCAGAGUGGUGCCGCUCUACCACGUCUGAGGCACCUGUGGGACCAUGUGACCUCAGCGGGGGUUAACCACCAUACAAACUACUGGCUUUACACCUGAUAGAUCUAAACUGCUGCACUAACAGCGACAAAAGGGCAAAAGGAGGGCUGGGGUGCAGCAGUCUUUUUCAACUUUGGCAGCCGAGCAUUAGCAGACACUCCAGCAGACAGCAGGGGGAAAGGUAGAGGUACGGUAUCUCAGGAGAGAGAGCCAUCACAGCGUGCGAUCGUCCCUGAUGCCAAUUACCGCUGUCACCCAUCUGCUUUGGGCAUGCGGUGAAACGUGGGAUAUGUGACCUACUUUCCAACACAAGUGUGACUGCAGCGCUUCUCCUCUCAUCAACAAACUGAGCGCCUCCUCCCUGAGGAGAUGGAGCCAGGGAUGGUGUCGCAGGGAUAUACACAGUGGUCCAAUAUAAAGAUUUUUUUGUUUGGCAUUUCGGUUUAAGUAGAUUAUACUGGAUUGCUUCCAAGCCAGUAUUCAGAAUUAAAUAUACUGUAUUUCCAAUGGAGGAAGGGAAACCAUCCCUAUUGUUGCAGGUAGAGAACUCCCUUCUCUUUAACCCCUUCGCCCAAUUUACAACCUCUAAUAACCACCUCUGGGAUAUAUGCCUCCAUCACAAUGCAAUAAAUGAAUGGAAAUCAGAUUUUGUUGUCCACAGAAUAAAAAAAUGAUAUAAA